rnacentral:lncRNA from 1 species
AGGCUCAGGCCCGCCUGCGGGCUGGUCCCCAUCCUUCCUCUUAGACCCCGCGAGGGUGAUGCAACCUUCGCAUACUGCGGUUGCGAGGCUCCAAGGCCGCCUUCUGCGCGGGAGGAGUGACCCCUGGCGGCCGACGCAGACAUUGCGGGCUUGGUGCUUGGACUCAACUUCUGAGCUGUGUUGCAUCAGCCAACGGGCCCUAAGGAAGCUGAAUAAUGCCUCAGGCUUCCUGCCACCCUGCAGGCCGGGAAGUUGGCAGGUGUGGCGGGUGGGGUGAGGGGUCCGAGUCCCAUGGCCUAGGACGUUCAUUUCUCCGAGGCUCGGUCUCUCCUCUGGUGGGACCAUGUCUCGAAGAGCCCCUGGCUUGGCUUCUGGAGCUGGCGGCCAGAGCCACCAGGAAGAUCAAGGAGCCAGGGCCACCCUCACGUUGCCUAGGCAACAGCAUCCGUGAUCAGACUGUAAGGCAACUGGGACCCAUGCGUGCUCCCCGGGGGAGGCUGCAGGUUCACGUCGGUGUCCGGUGAUAAAGAAGACACGGAUACAGCAAGAAGGAAGGAGGCCCUGUGCACGACACUAAGAUGAGUGACGCCACAGCACGGACCUUUGCUCAAGAUCCGUCAGCAGGAAAUACCCCCCAAGUGCCGAGAGUGCUGGCAUGCAGCAGAGAAGGCUGUAAGUGACUGUGAGGUUUCCUUCAUUAUACUCAUCUGCAUUUUCCAAA